rnacentral:rRNA from 1 species
CCCCGACGGAAACGGAGGGGUGCUUUUAUUAGAACAAAACCAAUCGGCGGCGGGGUCGCGAGACUCUGUCGUCGUACACCUUGGUGAAUCUGAAUAACUUAGCUGAUCGCGCACGGUCUAGCACCGGCGACGUAUCUUUCAAAUGUCUGCCUUAUCAACUGUCGAUGGUAGGUUCUGCGCCUACCAUGGUUGUAACGGGUAACGGGGAAUCAGGGUUCGAUUCCGGAGAGGGAGCCUGAGAAACGGCUACCACAUCCAAGGAAGGCAGCAGGCGCGCAAAUUACCCACUCCCGGCACGGGGAGGUAGUGACGAAAAAUAACGAUACGGGACUCAUCCGAGGCCCCGUAAUCGGAAUGAGUACACUUUAAAUCCUUUAACAAGGAUCAAUUGGAGGGCAAGUCUGGUGCCAGCAGCCGCGGUAACUCCAGCUCCAAUAGCGUAUAUUAAAGUUGUUGCGUUUAAAAAGCU